rnacentral:rRNA from 1 species
UAGAGGAAGUAAAAGUCGUAACAAGGUUUCCGUAGGUGAACCUGCGGAAGAUCAUUAUUGAAUUUUGAAUGGGGUUGUAGCUGGCCUUUCAACGGGCAGUGCACACCUCGCUUCAAUCCACUUACACCUGUGCACACUUUGUAGGUCGCUUUAGGAACGGGUCUCUAACGGGGCUUGUUUCGGGCCUUCCUAUGUAUAUUACAAACAUUUAAAGUCUAAAGAAUGUACUCGCGUCUAACGCAUUAAUACAACUUUCAGCAACGGAUCUCUUGGCUCUCGCAUCGAUGAAGAACGAGCGAAAUGCGAUAAGUAAUGUGAAUUGCAGAAUUCAGUGAAUCAUCGAUCUUUGAACGCACCUUGCGCUCCUUGGUAUUCCGAGGAGCAUGCCUGUUGAGUGUCAUGGAAUUAUCAACUCGUUUGUCUUUGUAUGAACGCAGUUGGUUUGGAGGCUAUUGCCGGAUUGUAAUGAUUCGGCUCCUCUUGAAUGCAUAGCUCGAACCUUUGCGGAUCAGCUUUUGGUGUGAUAAUUGUCUACGCCGUAACUGAGACGCAURAAUGGGAUCGGCUUACAAUCGUCCUCUACGGACAUUUAUUAUGACUUCUGACCUCAAAUCAGGUAGGAUUACCCGCUGAACUUAGCAUAUCA